UCCAGCGAUGCCCACCUCUUACGUUAUACAUCAUUCGCCUUUUACUAACGAUGUCACGGAGUGCGCAUCUAAUGUUGAGACUUCUAGAAUUUCUUUCCACUCUACUUCGAGUAUA
rnacentral:snRNA from 1 species